rnacentral:rRNA from 1 species
AUGAAUGCUGGCGGCGUGUCUAAGGCAUGCAAGUCGAACGGGUGCAACAUCGUAGCAAUACGUUGAGGCACUAGUGGCAAACGGGAGCGUAACACAUUGGUAACCUACCCCAGACUCGUGGAUAACGAUUGGAAACGAUCGCUAAUACACGAUAUUGAUGAGGGGACGCAAGUCAUUCUCAUUGAAAGUUUUUCGGUCUGGGAGGGGCCUAUGGUCCAUCAGCUUGUUGGCGGGGUAACGGCCCACCAAGGCAAUGACGGAUACCAGGCGCGAGAGCGUGACCUGGCUCAUUGGAACUGAGACACUGUCCAAACACCUACGGGUGGCUGCAGUCGAGAAUAUUCCACAAUGCACGAAAGUGUGAUGGAGCGACGCCGCGUGUUGAACGAAGGCCUUCGGGUCGUAAACAACUUUUCUCAGGGACGAAUUUUGACGGUACCUGAGGAAUAAGGGGUUGCUAACUCUGU